rnacentral:snoRNA from 11 species
AAAAUUAUUCUAUAGAUUGUACCUCUGUAUCCUUGAGUUCUAAGGAGACAGGAACUAGAUCUGAGCGUGAUUGACCGUUUGAUGAUCUUUGGGUCAGCACACAGUAGAGGAUCAUUCCAGGUUAGGUCCUCCCUGGCUUGGGUGAUCAUGCGGAUUGUCUGAC